rnacentral:misc_RNA from 1 species
AACGCACAUUGCGCCCUCUGGUAUUCCGGGGGGCAUGCCUGUUCGAGCGUCAUUGCAACCCUCAAGCACUGCUUGGUGUUGGGCGGUACCGCGCGCGGUACGCCUCAAACUCAGUGGCGGCGCCACCCGGCUUCAAGCGUAGUAACACUUCUCGCUUCGGACACCGGGUGCGCUCCCGCCAGCAAGCCUCACUUCUCAAGGUUGACCUCGGAUCAGGUAGGGAUACCCGCUGAACUUAA